CCGUGAAUGAUGAAGGUCUUAGGAUUGUAAAAUUACUUUCAGCGGGGAAGAUAAUGACUGUACCCGCAGAAGAAGCUCCGGCUAACUUCGUGC
rnacentral:rRNA from 1 species